GAUGAACGCUGGCGGCGUGCCUAAUACAUGCAAGUCGAGCGAACACAUAAGGAGCUUGCUCCUUUGACGUUAGCGGCGGACGGGUGAGUAACACGUGGGUAACCUACCUAUAAGACUGGAAUAACUCCGGGAAACCGGGGCUAAUGCCGGAUAACAUUUAGAACCGCAUGGUUCUAAAGUGAAAGAUGGCUUUGCUAUCACUUAUAGAUGGACCCGCGCCGUAUUAGCUAGUUGGUAAGGUAACGGCUUACCAAGGCAACGAUACGUAGCCGACCUGAGAGGGUGAUCGGCCACACUGGAACUGAGACACGGUCCAGACUCCUACGGGAGGCAGCAGUAGGGAAUCUUCCGCAAUGGGCGAAAGCCUGACGGAGCAACGCCGCGUGAGUGAUGAAGGUCUUCGGAUCGUAAAACUCUGUUAUUAGGGAAGAACAAAUGUGUAAGUAACUGUGCACGUCUUGACGGUACCUAAUCAGAAAGCCACGGCUAACUACGUG
rnacentral:rRNA from 1 species